rnacentral:rRNA from 1 species
AACUCUGGGAAACUGGGGAUAAUACUGGAUAUUAGGCUAUGCCUGGAAUGGUUUGCCUUUGAAAUGUUUUUUUCGCCUAAGGAUAGGUCUGCGGCUGAUUAGGUCGUUGGUGGGGUAAUGGCCCACCAAGCCGAUGAUCGGUACGGGUUGUGAGAGCAAGGGCCCGGAGAUGGAACCUGAGACAAGGUUCCAGACCCUACGGGGUGCAGCAGGCGCGAAACCUCCGCAAUGUACGAAAGUGCGACGGGGGGAUCCCAAGUGUUAUGCUUUUUUGUAUGACUUUUCAUUAGUGUAAAAAGCUUUUAGAAUAAGAGCUGGGCAAGACCGGUGCCAGCCGCCGCGGUAACACCGGCAGCUCGAGUGGUA